rnacentral:tRNA from 1 species
UUAAUUGAAGCCAAAAAGAGGCUUAUUACUGUUAAUAAUACUAUUGAAUCUAUAUUCCAAUUAAA